CCCUUAGAUGUUCUGGGCUGCACGCGCGCUACACUGAAGCUAUCAACACGUUUUCCCUCCCUGAGAAGGGCGGGUAACCUUUUGAAUCAGCUUCGUGGUAGGGAUCGGGGCUUGCAAUUGUUCCCCGUGAACCAGGAAUUCCUAGUAGACGCGAGUCAUAAGCGCGCAUCGAUUAAGUCCCUGCCCUUUGUACACACCGCCCGUCGCUACUACCGAUUGAACGUUUUAGUGAGGCAUUUGGACCGACGCAUCUCAGUUUAACCGCUGGUUUGUGUUGGAAAGACUUCCAAACUUGAGCGUUUAGAGGAAGUAAAAGUCGUAACA
rnacentral:rRNA from 1 species